UACGGGGGGGGCAAGCGUUGUUCGGAAUUACUGGGCGUAAAGGGCUCGUAGGCGGCCAACUAAGUCGGAUGUGAAAUCCCCAGGCUCAACCUGGGAACUGCAUCCGAUACUGGAUGGCUUGAAUUCGGGAGAGGGAUGCAGAAUUCCAGGUGUAGCGGUGAAAUGCGUAGAUAUCUGGAGGAAUACCGGUGGCGAAGGCGGCAUCCUGGACCGACAUUGACGCUGAGGCGCGAAAGCUAGGGGAGCAAACAGG
rnacentral:rRNA from 1 species